rnacentral:rRNA from 1 species
AUGAGUCCGGUCAAGCCGGUGGGAGGCAAUGCCGGAAAAGUUGCCUUGGAUGAAGAUUGUGAUACAAUGACUCUUGACAUGGGUGAGGCUAAUAAGAAGCUUCGUAUCACUAGCGAUGGUAUACAUCAAUUAUUUGGUUUCCCUCGUGGUGGUCGUUCUGCACCAAGGCCGUCAGAGGACGGAUAUGAUGACGCUCUGAUGAAGUUAAGAUCGGAGCUUGACAUUAGCAGGGACAAAGAUAUCAAGACAAAGGAUUUGAGGAAUAAGCUCAAGGUGCUCGUCAAGGAUCCUAGCAAAGAUGACCUUGCUCUGAAAGUGUUCUUCAUUAUUGUGUUUAUGAAGGUUGUGUUGCCUGGAUCUGCCCCACGUGUUUCCAGAGAGGCAGCAAUGUUUGAGGGUCUCGUCUUUGAGGACAUGGCUAAUAUGGAUUAUUGCCAACUGAUGGUUGAUGAGCUUAGAAGGGCUGUUGCCAAGUACCAAAGUGGUCAUACCAUGGGGAAGGCAAUCACAGGCUAUGCCAUAGGGCCUGUACUAAUGUACCUUGACUGCCUUAUCCGUGGCAAAACUGCGGAGCCUGACAUGCGAGUCCCCCGCAUAUGUUACAUGGAUCCUGCCAAGCUUUCUGAUCUGGUUGAUGCAGAUUUGAUAAAAAAAGGCAAUGCAGAUCCAAAGACUUGGGUGUUUGGGAAGCUUCCGGUGAGUUUUGUUUGUUUUGUCUCUUGCAGACCUUUUGGUAUUGAUGUUGCUGUUUCAGCGUUGGAGCGUGCUGAGCAUAUCUUAAGUAAUGUGUGUCCUGAGCUGCAAAAGGUCCCAACGACAGUUGAGCGUUUGAGCUGUAUCAAUGGUAUCCUUCCUGAAGGUCAUCAAUUUAACGCUAAGGAAUCUGUUGACUACAUUGAGAUGGAGAGAAUUUUAAUCAGUGAUAUGCACGAUGGUGCCGCUAAUCUAAUCUAG